UCCAACCAGAGUUAAUAGAGGGAACCUCUAUUUAACUCUGCUCCAACACUCAAGUGUUACUUGAGUGGCCAGUGCCAGGCCUUGGUCAGUAAACCGAGUGAGAAAGCGGCUGCCUGAGUGAUCAAAGCCAUUUCUCUGACAGUCGUCUUCCCUUAAGUUGUUCAUGCACUUCCUUCAGUUUGGUUUAUACAGGUAGCCAUUAAGCGUGGUGCAGUAUCUGUUCACGAGCCAUGGGAUGAAGCAGCUGAAGAUGAUACAGUGACUUUUGCCACUGUCCAGACAUAUGGAGACACAUUACACCCAAAUUUGUUGAAAGAAAGGAAUUCAGUGGUCUCUUUCUACCUGGCAACAAGUCUCUAAUAGCCAAAGAUUGCCUUCUUUCCAAACUACCACCAGGCCUUCUUCAUUUUAUUGAUCAUGUCAUUGGUAACCAGCCAGAAAAUGCUAUGGUGUCCAUUGCCGAAUAGUAAGU